UACGGGGGGAGCAAGCGUUGUCCGGAAUUAUUGGGCGUAAAGAGCUCGUAGGCGGCUUGUCGCGUCGGAUGUGAAAGCCCGGGGCUUAACUCCGGGUCUGCAUUCGAUACGGGCAGGCUAGAGUUCGGUAGGGGAGAUCGGAAUUCCUGGUGUAGCGAUGAAAUGCGCAGAUAUCAGGAAGAACACCCGUGGCGAAGGCGGCUCUCUGGGACGGUACUGACGCUGAGGAGCGAAAGCGUGGGUAGCAAACAGG
rnacentral:rRNA from 1 species